GUAAGGAUGUAGCAGAAUCAGGAUCCUGGAACAGGAAAAGCUCCAGUGCAGGUGAGGACCACUGGAACAAUGCUACUGGGUGGAAUCAACAGAAAUCUCAGAACAAAGACACCUGGGGAAGUACUGCAGAAGCCCAAAAUAAAGAUACUGUUCAUGAAGAGUCAUGGGGUAAAAGAUCUAGUGCAGGCGAGGACCAUUGGAAUAAGGGUGCUGGGUGGAAUCAGCAGAAAUCUCAGAACAAAGGGGACACUUGGGGAGGUACUGCAGUUGGUAGCUGUGCCCAACCAGAUUCGGGAGAUGCUGAUGAAGUGAAUGGCUGGAUGAAAGCCAAAGUUGAUGGUG
rnacentral:misc_RNA from 1 species